GCGCCUGCAAAAUCAGGCGUCGGGCUUGACCUCCUGAACCUCUUAGUGACGACACAAUGGCGCGUCUGCGCUUUUUUU
rnacentral:sRNA from 1 species